CUUAGUAAGAUCUUCCUUAUAUACAAAUAUAUACAACAUAAACAGGUGGGAGAGUAGCCUCAAAAUAUUUAGCACUAUCCCAACUUGAGUUUAGAUUUAUGCACUAAAAUGGUAGAGAUAGAUGGAUGAUAGAUAGGUAAGAGAUAAUGCUAUAUAUUCCAUGCAACUGGUAUGCCUAUACUAGUAUGUACAAACAAUAUCAAUUCUGCACCUAUGUUUUCUUUCAUUUCUUUCAUGGUUUAAAUUUUUACAUUUAAGUUUUUAUCCACAUGAAAUGUAUUUAGUAUAAGGAGUGAGGUAGGGAUUAUAACCCGACCUCCCAAAAGGAUAAUUAUUCUAUUAUCAUUUAUUUAUUACAUAAUUCAUUUUAAUCCCAUGAUAUGAAAUACAUCUUUGUUUUGUAUAAAUUGUACAGAUAUUUCAGGGUGAGAGUGUUUCAGAAAGACAAAGCAGCAGCAAAGAAGCCAGUGUGGUGGGAGAGGUGUCAGCUACAGCAAGAGGAGCAGGAAAUGGGAGGACUCAUGUCAUGUAGGACCUCCUGAGCCAUUCUGUAUCUGAAGAAUUUUUUACUGAUUUCCUUUGCUUUGUUGGUUUAUUUGUUGAUAGCUAGGAAUCGGUAUAGAUUUUUAAAAAUCUCCCAGUUGAUCUCAUUCUUACUUGCUCAUUGAAUUGUCUUUUCUUUUCAGAUCAAUUUUGAUCAUUUAUAUUUUUAAAAAACACCUACCUUAUCCAGGACUUUUCCCUAAUUCAUUAAUAUGGAAAGGUGCAAAGAAAUCUCUUAACAUUUGAAUGAUACUUUAGUUAUUCAACAGGUAUUUAUUGAGUACCACCUAUGUGCUGAUCACUGCUCCCAGCUCUGGAGAAACAAGACAAUAUUUUCUACAAAGCAAAUAGGAUAGAGAAGUCCUUGAUUUCACAGAACUUACAGUCUGGUCUGGGAAAUAGAUGUUAACCAAGAAAACAACUUAUAAAGUAUACUGAAGAGGAGCCUUGACCCUCAUAAAAAGUUCAACAUCUUUCUGCUCUUAUGACCUACAUUGUUGAGUUCUGCUUCCAGAAAUCCAAGAAAACCAAAAGAAUUUGUAGACUGGACAUAUUGAGAUGAAGGGGAAAAAAGCAGCAACAACAAAAUUGUGGGCAAUCUUGUAAGUUUUUCAAUGUAUUACAGAAGAGUAGACCUUAUCAAGGCCUAACCCCUCCCCUGGAACAUGCCAAAAGACCAAGAGACAAAGUUAUUCAGGAUUAGCUUCACCCAUGAACCUAACCAAUCGCAGCAUAAAUUAGAACACAACAGAAGACAUGGACUUGACUCUGUGAAACCUCUGAAACUUUUUACCUGCUUCCUACCUAACAGAGAAGGCUUUAGGCUAUUUGCCUCAUCUUCCUAUAUCUGUCUUAAGGCAACACUGCGAAACCCUCUACCAUGCAGUGCUGACUACCAUUGUUUUAUCUAUCUCUAUGAUAGAGAGAUGAAAAAAGUUCCCUCCCUAGAGUGUGGUGUUAGGUGCUUCCACAAGUGAUGGACUAAUCAAUCUCUGUUUUUAACUUCUGCUUUAACCAAGAAAUAAAUAUAUGAACAAAAAGGAAAAAAAGAAAAAAAAGGAAAAAUUACAGUCCGCUACCGAAUGAACUGUGUCCCCUCAAGUUGAGAUUCUUUCUCUCUCAAUCUCUCUCCACUUGUCAUGUGAGGACACAGCAAGAAGAUGGCCAUCUACAAGCCAGGAAGAAAGCCUUCACCAGGAAUCAAACCAGCACCUUGAUCUUGGACUUCCCAUCCUCCAAAACUGUGAGAAAUAAAGUUCUGUUGC